rnacentral:misc_RNA from 1 species
AACUUUUCACAGAUCAUCUUCACAUGAAAUCCUCCUGGCCUUUAUCCCUUUCCCAUAACAGUGGCCUCAGCGUGUCCAAAGAGAGCUUACUGAACCCCUCCAUUGCCUCAUUUGACGGCAAACCACUAUAAUGUUGCUGCUGCUCUGCCCAAAUCCGCCCGCUCUGGUUUCCCAAAUCAUACCCAGGUGUUGAUGUGUAAUUUGCAUCCAUUAGCAUGUCACCUUCUAGUAUGCGGAGAACCUGUGACAUGCGAGG